GGGAGAGUGCAGGGAAGGCCACUUUUGGUGCAGAGCUAGAGAUAUUCCCCUUUAUCCACCCACAGCAGGUUGCAGUGACAGUGAAUUUUCCUGCAGAAAUUGUGCCAUCAAUUGCGUGAUAAAGGAGGAAUCCCGAAGUGGCUCUGUUUCUGUGACCUCAUCCUCCCAAAGGUUUUGCUCUAUUCUGAUGGGUGCCAUCUCCAUACUUCCAGCCUGGAUGUCCCAAACUUCAGGACACCAUGUGGAGUAAUCUGGACUUUUUCCUAUCAGCAUCCUCUAGGGCAUUCCAGGCAAAUGGAAUAAUAUGAAAAACAGCAAAAGAAGCAUGAAGCUGCAGAACUUAUUAGUUCAAAUGCAAUAUGGGGAUGUUUUGUAGCAACAUCACAUGGAUGUUGAGAGGGUUGAAAGGAAGGAAACACAUUUUACUACAUAAGGGACUAGUAAUGAGAAUGUAUGUUUAAAGUUCAUAGAUAUAUUUGGUACAACCAUGACUACAACACCUGAAUAAAUUUAAUUAAUGCUUUUCCUGUGAAGAACAUAUAGUACUUGAGUAUAUCAUAAAAUACUAUUGUUAGUGGUUUCAGGAGGGAGAAUCAUUCACCAAACAAGACAGACAAGAAAAUCAUGAGGAUAAGAGCUGGACAAGUGUGAUGUGUUGUUGGUAGAGGACACCCAAAGGAGGGAGAGAUCAGACUCACUUGUUUAUUUAAAGAUGAGUAAGAAUUUGCCUGACAGAUGGGAAUCAUGACAGCUGGAGAGAGGAUGUUCUAGGCAAAUGGAACAAUAUGUAUAACAACAUAGAGGCAUGAAACAGACCACAUUCUCUUUGAUCAGUAAUGUAACAUAUAUAUGAAUGUGUACAUUCAAAUAAGUUUAAAAUCUUAGUGCUCUCCUCCAAAGAGUUUAUAACAUAAUUGAAUAGAUAAUGUGCAAGUAUGGGAAGAAAAUGUUAAUACUAUGUGAUAAUGGUCU
rnacentral:lncRNA from 10 species